CCCGCACACAGGGCCCCGCACAGAGCUCCGUCAGUACCCGCCUUGCCGCGGCCUACACAACCUGGGCUCCGGUGCCUCGCGUGCCAGCCUACCCUGCCGCGUUGGCAAGGGCCCCUCGCUGUUGCAAUCUUCCCCCCGCAACUUCUCCCCUGCAACAUGUCUUCCGUCAACCCAACCCUCGCCCUCCUCGACGCCCAGGAGUGACCUUUGUUUACCCGGAGUAUUUCUCGGUGUUUACAGGAGCAGGAGACUUACCUGUUGCCUCAUUCGGCCUCGAUUGUGUCAUGCGCGCGAACCUUGGGUCUUAUUUAUAAUGCGUCUGAUGGUGAUGGUGAAGUGAAAAGGAAGGGUAUGGUGAGGCUGUGGUACUCUUGGGAUCCGGGUACCUGCAACAGCGUUUCGUCCGUGGUACCUCCGUCUUCACUCGCUUUUCGACUCUUCGAUGCUCGUCAAAGGUGCUGAGAGUCGAGGAUGAAAGCUGCAGCCGUCGCCUCCUCCUCCUCCUCCUCCUCCUUGUCGUCGUCCUGCUCUUGGCCCCGUCGUGGUCGUCGUCGAAAUCGGCAGGUCGUCGUCGGCAAGUCGUAGCGGAGUCGUAGCGGUGUCGUAGCGGAUUCCGGGACCCGAUAUCGGACGGAGAUUCUGAUUUUAUGGAAGGAAAAAAAAACUAUGUGAAUGAGUGAGAGAGAAGAAGGGGGACCGCCGGUGCUGUGCCAAAUGUAGUGUGUUUGUGGUGGUGUCGAAUUUAUUAUCUUUUUUUCUUGUGCUAAUGUUAUUGUUUACAACCGCCGAACUGAGCAAGAAUAUUUCGUUCGUGGUGAUUUUCCCGUUUUCUUUCACGGUGAUUUGGAAGUAUCGAUAGACAGAAAACGGUGUGUGAGAAGCUGGAUAUUUGAAUUUAAUUUUGACCUCGAUCUCCCUUCGCUCACCUCUGAGGCGAAGACGGAAAAGGAUGUAUUGAAGUCGCCGCUGGAAAGGAGAAGCAACAUAGAAAAUGGCAACGGUAGCGAGAAAGGAAGGUAAUCCCUCUUUCCUACAUCUUAACACAGUGUAAGUCUCGUAGUGAAACAGCAAGACCGUGCCUCGAAAGAUCCCUCGUGGGCACCCGCAAGAACAAAAGAGAUGCCACGUGGACUGUGAGCGCCCCCUUUCCCCUCUCUCU